rnacentral:rRNA from 1 species
AUUAGGCCAUGCAUGUCUAAGUAUAAGCAAUUAUACCGUGAAACUGCGAAUGGCUCAUUAAAUCAGUUAUCGUUUAUUUGAUAAUACCUUACUACUUGGAUAACCGUGGUAAUUCUAGAGCUAAUACAUGCUGAAAAUCCCGACUUCGGAAGGGAUGUGUUUAUUAGAUAAAAAACCAAUGCCCUUCGGGGCUUUUUGGUGAUUCAUGAUAACUUUACGGAUCGCAUAGCCUUGCGCUGGCGACGGUUCAUUCAAAUUUCUGCCCUAUCAACUUUCGAUGGUAAGGUAUUGGCUUACCAUGGUUUCAACGGGUAACGGGGAAUUAGGGUUCGAUUCCGGAGAGGGAGCCUGAGAAACGGCUACCACAUCCAAGGAAGGCAGCAGGCGCGCAAAUUACCCAAUCCCGACACGGGGAGGUAGUGACAAUAAAUACUGAUACAGGGCUCUUUUGGGUCUUGUAAUUGGAAUGAGUACAAUUUAAACCUCUUAACGAGGAACAAUUGGAGGGCAAGUCUGGUGCCAGCAGCCGCGGUAAUUCCAGCUCCAAUAGCGUAUAUUAAAGUUGUUGCAGUUAAAAAGCUCGUAGUUGAAACUUGGGCCUGGCUGGCGGGUCCGCCUCACCGCGUGCACUCGUCCGGCCGGGCCUUCCUUCUGAAGAACCUCAUGCCCUUCACUGGGCGUGCUGGGGAAUCAGGACUUUUACUUUGAAAAAAUUAGAGUGUUCAAAGCAGGCCUUUGCUCGAAUACGUUAGCAUGGAAUAAUAAAAUAGGGCGUGCGUUUCUAUUUUGUUGGGUUUCUAGAGACGCCGCAAUGAUUAACAGGAACAGUCGGGGGGCAUCAGUAUUCAGUUGUCAGAGGUGAAAUUCUUGGGAUUUACUGAAGACUAACUACUGCGAAAGCAUUUUGCCAAGGGAUG